rnacentral:lncRNA from 1 species
ACUGGAACCCGGGGGAAGAUGGCGGCAGCCGUUCUGAGUGGGCCCUCUGCGGGCUCCGCGGCUGGGGUUCCUGGCGGGACCGGGGGUCUCUCGGCAGUGAGCUCGGGCCCGCGGCUCCGCCUGCUGCUGCUGGAGAGUGUUUCUGGUUUGCUGCAACCUCGAACGGGGUCUGCCGUUGCUCCGGUGCAUCCCCCAAACCGCUCGGCCCCACAUUUGCCCGGGCUCAUGUGCCUAUUGCGGCUGCAUGGGUCGGUGGGCGGGGCCCAGAACCUUUCAGCUCUUGGGGCAUUGGUGAGUCUCAGUAAUGCACGUCUCAGUUCCAUCAAAACUCGGUAAGUCUUUGGCCCUUUUUUUUCUCCAGGGGCGUGUUCCCUUAGGAAGUGGGCAUAUGUACAUCUUUGCUUUCAUUGUCACCGUCCCCAGGAUUCAAGACCUCUCUCUAUUCCCAAGAGUGUGGAGAGUUACAUUCCUUUUGUGAGCUCACUUGAUUUGAACCCUACCUUUUCCAGCUCCCAGAUGUCCUAUUCCACCCUGGGAUUACCUCUGCUCCCUUCUUUCUUUGCUUCUUCCACCUCAUUCCAAGUAUUUCAGGAGUUGGAAACCACAGUGGAUCUGGGGAUGAAGUCUUGCUGUAGCCUAGUGAGAAUAAAAGAGCAGUCACUUUCUCUGAAGUCUAGCCUCCGCCCACUUAACAUGACUCUCUUCUUU